rnacentral:tRNA from 1 species
GCCCGUGUAGCUCAGUCGGUAGAGCACCUCGUUGGUAACGAGGAGGUCACCGGUUCAAAUCCGGUCGCGGGCUCCA